UCCGGUUUGGCACCGGCAGUCUCCCUAGAGUUCCCGGCAUUAUCCGCUGGCAACUAAGGACAGGGGUUGCGCUCGUUGCGCCACUUAAGGCAACACCUCACGGCACGAGCUGACGACAGCCAUGCACCACCUGUGCAGGCUCCGAAGAGCGCCCGCUUUCACGGGUUUCACCCUGCAUGUCAAGCCCAGGUAAGGUUUUUCGCGUGCAUCGAAUUAAUCCACAUAAUCCACCGCUUGUGCGGGUCCCCGUCAAUUCCUUUGAGUUUUAGCCUUGCGGCCGUACUCCCCAGGCGGUCAACUUCACGCGUUAGCUUCUCAGCACAGAGGGUCGAUACUCCAUACUAAUAGUGUGCAUCGUUUACGGCGUGGACUAC
rnacentral:misc_RNA from 1 species